rnacentral:SRP_RNA from 1 species
CGGUGCUUGCCUGGGAUCAGGGGGCUUGAUACGUUGGUGACNNNNNNNNNNACCUGCAAUCCGCUAUAGCAGGGUUGAAUUCCCUCCCGAGGCAUGUUUCGGACGGCAACUUCGCCUGCGGUGAAAAUGUUGAUAGCUGGGCCCUGUGCGACGGGAGCUGGUGAAAUCCGUCAGGACCGGAAGGUAGCAGCGGUAAGUCAUGUCUUCCUGGGUGCUUCAGGAUCCCCCGGCUGGAGUUUUCGCCGUGGAACGAAGACCGGCUGAGGAUGUCGAAGUAGGGUGCACGG